rnacentral:rRNA from 1 species
AGGGAAUCUUCCGCAAUGGGCGAAAGCCUGACGGAGCAACGCCGCGUGAGUGAUGAAGGUCUUCGGAUCGUAAAACUCUGUUAUUAGGGAGGAACAAAUGUGUAAGUAACUAUGCACGUCUUGACGGUACCUAAUCAGAAAGCCACGGCUAACUACGUGCCAGCAGCCGCGGUAAUACGUAGGUGGCAAGCGUUAUCCGGAAUUAUUGGGCGUAAAGCGCGCGUAGGCGGUUUUUUAAGUCUGAUGUGAAAGCCCACGGCUCAACCGUGGAGGGUCAUUGGAAACUGGAAAACUUGAGUGCAGAAGAGGAUAGUGGAAUUCCAUGUGUAGCGGUGAAAUGCGCAGAGAUAUGGAGGAACACCAGUGGCGAAGGCGACUUUCUGGUCUGUAACUGACGCUGAUGUGCGAAAGCGUGGGGAUCAAACAGGAUUAGAUACCCUGGUAGUCCACGCCGUAAACGAUGAGUGCUAAGUGUUAGGGGGUUUCCGCCCCUUAGUGCUGCAGCUAACGCAUUAAGCACUCCGCCUGGGGAGUACGACCGCAAGGUUG